AUACCUUUCUCGGCCUUUUGGCUAAGAUCAAGUGUAGUAUCUGUUCUUAUCAGUUUAAUAUCUGAUAUGUGAGUCAUCGACUCACACGAUAUUAACUCAUUUUUUUGAGGGGGGAAGGUCCACCACGGUAGCUUGCUAUCGGGACCUUCAAGAGUCGCCUAGGUGUUGCACUACUGCCUUGGCCUGGCUCACCCCAC
rnacentral:snRNA from 2 species